rnacentral:tRNA from 1 species
GGGCCAUAGCUUAGUGGUAGAGCAUCUGUCUUGCAUGCAGAAGGUCCCAGGUUCAAUCCUCAGCAUCUCCA